rnacentral:tRNA from 1 species
GGCGCAGUGAUGGAACUGGUAGACAUGCGGGACUCAAAAUCCCGUGCUAGCAAUAGCAUGUCGGUUCGACUCCGACCUGCGCCACCA